CCCUGCCCCACCCAAGGGAGGGUGGAGCUGAGCAGGAAGAGGAGAAGCUGCAGAAGAGACUGAGGGAGGAAGGAAGCAGGAUGGAGCCAGGAGACGUGGAGGAGGCGCAUGGAGCCUAGAGACACGUGUCUCCUAUGUGCCCCCAAAUCCCUGGUGCAAGUCCACGGCUGAGAAGCAAGGGCAGCUUCUUCUUCACAGGCCUCUGCUCCAUGUGCUUCCUGCAAUCUUCUUCUUCAUCUUUUAUUCUGUCUUUUCUAGCGUCUCCUCGCUGCUCAGCUCCACCUUUCCUUGGGUGGGGCAGGGAAUCUGGAACAUUCCCUUUCUAUGGAUGUCACUGUUACAACAUCUCUGUGGGCUGUGAGGGGUUUGAGGUGGGAGCAUGUCCCAAGCCAGGCCCAUCAGAGUCAAGUGCAGGAUGUCAGCUGGAACCAAGGAGGAAUAGGGAGGAGGAAACGCUGGAGAGGGGACUGAAGGAAGGAAGCAGGAUGGAGAGCCAGAAGGAGACUCGGAGGAGGCACUUGCAGCAGAGAGACAUGUGGAGAAGCCGCACUUGUCUCUUAGUCUUGGACUGACUGAAACAGAAGUGUGUGUGAGACUCGUGGGGGCUGACAAUGGCAGCCUUUAACUUGAUUUUGAUUUUGCUCUUUUCCUUCCAGACUUGUCUGGCCAUUUCCGUCCCUUUCCUAUGAGUCCCCACCAGAAGGUGCUGUGGAUGUGUGGCAGGCUCUUGGGCCUCAGUGGCCCUGCUUUGGGCCAACCCUGUUUGUCUGGGCGUUUUCCCAUGAGGGGAUGGGUAACUUCAGGUGCUUGACUUGUAAACUUUAUUCUUUCUCUUGUCUU